rnacentral:misc_RNA from 1 species
GAUGAAGAACGUAGCGAAAUGCGAUAAGUAAUGUGAAUUGCAGAAUUCAGUGAAUCAUCGAAUCUUUGAACGCACCUUGCGCCCUUUGGCCAUUCCGAAGGGCAUGCCUGUUUGAGUAUCAUGAACACCUCAACUCUUUAUGGUUUUCCAUGAUGAGCUUGGACUCUGGGGGUUUUGCUGGCUCACAGUCGGCUCCUCUAAAAUGAAUCAGCUUACCAGUGUUUGGUGGGUAUCAUGGGUGUGAUAACUAUCUACGCUUGUGGUUUUUCCACCAGGUGACCUUCAGCAGUGGAGGUUCGCUGGAGCUCAUAGAUGUCUCUCCUCAGUGAGGACAGCCCUUUGAAUGUUUGAUCUCAAAUCAGGUAGGACUACCCGCUGAACUUAAGCAUAUCAAUAAGCGGAGGA